rnacentral:rRNA from 1 species
GAAGUAAAAGUCGUAACAAGGUUUCCGUAGGUGAACCUGCGGAAGGAUCAUUACCUAGAGUUUGUAGACUUCGGUCUGCUACCUCUUACCCAUGUCUUUUGAGUACCUUCGUUUCCUCGGCGGGUCCGCCCGCCGAUUGGACAACAUUCAAACCCUUUGCAGUUGCAAUCAGCGUCUGAAAAAACAUAAUAGUUACAACUUUCAACAACGGAUCUCUUGGUUCUGGCAUCGAUGAAGAACGCAGCGAAAUGCGAUAAGUAGUGUGAAUUGCAGAAUUCAGUGAAUCAUCGAAUCUUUGAACGCACAUUGCGCCCCUUGGUAUUCCAUGGGGCAUGCCUGUUCGAGCGUCAUUUGUACCUUCAAGCUCUGCUUGGUGUUGGGUGUUUGUCUCGCCUCCGCGUGUAGACUCGCCUUAAAACAAUUGGCAGCCGGCGUAUUGAUUUCGGAGCGCAGUACAUCUCGCGCUUUGCACUCAUAACGACGACGUCCAAAAGUACAUUUUUACACUCUUGACCUCGGAUCAGGUAGGGAUACCCGCUGAACUUAAGCAU